AUUGAACGCUGGCGGCAGGCUUAACACAUGCAAGUCGAGCGAGCGGCGGCCGGGUGAGUAAUGUCUGGGAAACUGCCUGAUGGAGGGGGAUAACUACUGGAAACGGUGGCUAAUACCGCAUACCAUCGGAUGUGCCCAGAUGGGAUUAGCUAGUAGGGGGGGUAAUGGCUAACCUAGGCGAAGAUCCCUAGUUGGUCUGAGAGGAUGACCAGCAACACUGGAACUGAGAAACGGUCCAGACUCCUACGGUAGGCAGCAGUGGGUAAUAGUGCACAAUGGGCGCAAGCCUGAUGCAGCCAUGCCGCGUGUGUGAAGAAGGCCUUCGGGUUGUAAAGCACUUUCAGCGAGGAGGCGUUACUCGCAGAAGAAGCACCGGCUAACUCCGUGCCAGCCGCCGCGGUAAUAC
rnacentral:rRNA from 1 species